rnacentral:rRNA from 1 species
GAGUUUGAUCCUGGCUCAGAUUGAACGCUAGCGGCAUGCUUUACACAUGCAAGUCGAACGGCAGCGCGGGGUAACCUGGCGGCGAGUGGCGAACGGGUGAGUAAUGCGUCGGAACGUAUCCAAUAAUGGGGGAUAACGCAGCGAAAGCUGUGCUAAUACCGCAUACGCCCUGAGGGGGAAAGCAGGGGAUCUUCGGACCUUGCGUUAAUGGAGCGGCCGACGUCUGAUUAGCUAGUUGGUGGGGUAAAGGCCUACCAAGGCGACGAUCAGUAGCUGGUCUGAGAGGAUGAUCAGCCACACUGGGACUGAGACACGGCCCAGACUCCUACGGGAGGCAGCAGUGGGGAAUUUUGGACAAUGGGCGCAAGCCUGAUCCAGCCAUUCCGCGUGAGUGAAGAAGGCCUUCGGGUUGUAAAGCUCUUUCGGCAGGGAAGAAACAGUUGAGGCUAAUAUCCUUGACCAAUGACGGUACCUGCAUAAGAAGCACCGGCUAACUACGUGCCAGCAGCCGCGGUAAUACGUAGGGUGCGAGCGUUAAUCGGAAUUACUGGGCGUAAAGCGUGCGCAGGCGGUUUUUCAAGUCUGAUGUGAAAGCCCCGGGCUUAACCUGGGAACUGCGUUGGAAACUGAAAGACUAGAGUGCGGCAGAGGGGGGUAGAAUUCCACGUGUAGCAGUGAAAUGCGUAGAUAUGUGGAGGAAUACCGAUGGCGAAGGCAGCCCCCUGGGUCGACACUGACGCUCAUGCACGAAAGCGUGGGUAGCAAACAGGAUUAGAUACCCUGGUAGUCG